GUCUAUGGCCAUGCCACCCUGAGCCAGCCCGAUGUCUGAUCUUGGAAGCUAAGCAGGGUCGGUCCUGGUUAGUACUUGAGUAGGAGACCACUUAGGAAGACCAGGUGCUAUAGGUA
rnacentral:rRNA from 1 species